rnacentral:rRNA from 1 species
UACGGAGGGAGCUAGCGUUGUUCGGAAUUACUGGGCGUAAAGCGCACGUAGGCGGCUUUGUACGUUAGAGGUGAAAGCCCGGAGCUCAACUCCGGAAUUGCCUUUAAGACUGCAUCGCUUGAAUCCAGGAGAGGUGAGUGGAAUUCCGAGUGUAGAGGUGAAAUUCGUAGAUAUUCGGAAGAACACCAGUGGCGAAGGCGGCUCACUGGACUGGUAUUGACGCUGAGGUGCGAAAGCGUGGGGAGCAAACAGG